AAAAGCUGGGUCUGGGGCAAAGAGCUCACAGGGUCCGGGGAUGCAGGGUGGCAGAGAGCUGGGGCUGCUCACACCGAGAGCCAGUGCCAGGUCGGGGAGAGGAAGGCAAGGUAAGUGGGCCCGAGAUCAGGCCUAAGCUACCGUUUACUGGGCUUGGACAAUUCGGGGAGGGCAGGCAGGCGGCCAGCAGUGGGAGUCACGGGGGACAGGCAGGGUGCACACUUCAACUCCUCAGGUCAGGGCGCAACCCCAGCUCAUGCUCAGGGUGACCCUCGGCCGUGAUGGCCAGGCCCAGCGGGGUCCCCGACCAGGCCCAGCGGGGUCCCCGAUCAGGCACAGCAGGGCUGAGCGGGCCCCGGGGGACAGAGGAGGAGGAAACCAGAAAGCAGGCGAUGCCCAGGAAGAGCAGGGGCCACCAGGGUGCCGGAGUCCCCAGGGCUGGCGCCAGCGUCUCUCUUCCUUAGGCCACAGACAGCGUGCGAGGCGGGAGAGGGGCACCCGCUGGGGAUGCAGCGCUGAAAACUCAGCUCAGCACGGGGUGGAUGGAUGGUGGGUGCGGGGCCGGAGCUGGGGCAGACCCCGGAGCCAGCCGGGCCGGGCAGGGGCCACUUGAGUUCAAGGAAAGAUGACGGCAAGGCCUCUGGGGAGCAGGGCACCCCCUGGAAAGGGGACUAGAUCGCGUGGGAGAGAGGCCAAGACCGAGGAGUUGGGAAGUUCGGGAAGGGCCGUGGAGAUCCCGUCACCAGGACGAGGAGCCGGACUCCAAUUUGCAGGGAGUGGAGCAGCUGGAGACGGCGGGAGCAGGGCACGGGCAGGAGGAGAGCGCAGACAUUUAUGGAGCACCAACUACACACUAGGACCAUCAUGCAGUAGACAUGGAGAAAUGACAUAGGCAUGCUUCCUGUCCUCCGAACAGGGAGAAGAAAGACAAAAGAAGGAAAAAGAGGAGAGAGCAAGAGACAACAGAGAUCAGGAAGAGAAGCGGACAACAGGAGGGACCACCCUGGCCAGCAGAGGGACCGGCGGCCACCCCUCUCGGCAGGGCUGUGUCCUCACCCUGUCACACCCCCCUUAUCCCUGGAACGUGGUGUCAGUUAUUUGUAUAUUUUCCUACAUUUUUCUUUUUUUAAUUGUACAUUUUGUUUUCUGGUUAUAGGUCUUACAAGCAUGUGUUAUUUUUCCGAGGCUGCCAUAAAAAAUGACCGCAAACUA